rnacentral:rRNA from 1 species
CAAGUCGAACGGGAAGUAGCAAUACUCCAGUGGCGGACGGGUGAGUAACGCGUGAGAAUCUGCCUUCUGGUCGGGGACAACCACUGGAAACGGUGGCUAANACCGGAUGAGCCGAAGGGUAAAAGAUAAAUUGCCAGAAGAGGAGCUCGCGUCUGAUUAGCUAGUUGGUAGGGUAAAAGCCUACCAAGGCAUCGAUCAGUAGCUGGUCUGAGAGGACGAUCAGCCACACUGGGACUGAGACACGGCCCAGACUCCUACGGGAGGCAGCAGUGGGGAAUUUUCCGCAAUGGGCGAAAGCCUGACGGAGCAAGACCGCGUGAGGGAAGAAGGCUCUUGGGUCGUAAACCUCUUUUGUUAGGGAAGAACACAAUGACGGUACCUAACGAAUCAGCCUCGGCUAACUCCGUGCCAGCAGCCGCGGUAAUACGGAGGAGGCAAGCGUUAUCCGGAAUUAUUGGGCGUAAAGCGUCCGCAGGUGGCUAUUCAAGUCUGCGGUCAAAGACUGGGGCUUAACCCUGGAAAGGCCGUGGAAACUGAAGAGCUAGAGUGCAGUAGGGGUAGAGGGAAUUCCCGGUGUAGCGGUGAAAUGCGUAGAGCUCGGGGAAGAACAUCGGUGGCGAAAAGCGCUCUGCUGGACUGCACUGACACUCAUGGGACGAAAUC